UGCGCAGGCGGAAUGAUUAGUCAGUGGUGAAAUCCUACAGCUCAACUGUAGAACUGCCAUUGAUACUGUCAUUCUUGAGUACAGUGGAAGUGGGCGGAAUGUAUCAUGUAGCGGUGAAAUGCACAGAUAUGAUACAGAACACCGAUAGCGAAAGCAGCUCACUAUACUGUAACUGACGCUCAGGCACGAAAGCGUGGGGAGCAAACAGGAUUAGAUACCCUGGUAGUCC
rnacentral:rRNA from 1 species